rnacentral:tRNA from 2 species
GGGCUUGUGGCGAAGCCUGGUAUCGCGUCCCGUUCGCAACGGGGAGGCCGCGGGUUCGAAUAGUUAGCGACAAGGUCG